rnacentral:rRNA from 1 species
CCUACGGGAGGCAGCAGUGAGGAAUAUUGGUCAAUGGACGAGAGUCUGAACCAGCCAAGUAGCGUGAAGGAUGACUGCCCUAUGGGUUGUAAACUUCUUUUAUAUGGGAAUAAAGUGUUCCACGUGUGGGAUUUUGUAUGUACCAUAUGAAUAAGGAUCGGCUAACUCCGUGCCAGCAGCCGCGGUAAUACGGAGGAUCCGAGCGUUAUCCGGAUUUAUUGGGUUUAAAGGGAGCGUAGGUGGAUUGUUAAGUCAGUUGUGAAAGUUUGCGGCUCAACCGGAGAAUUGCCGUUGAAACUGGCAGUAGUGAGUAGAGUAGAGGUGGGCGGAAUGCGUGGUGUAGCGGUGAAAUGCUUAGAUAUCACGAAGAACUCCGAUUGCGAAGGCAGCUUACUGGACUGCAACUGACACUGAGGCUCGAAAGUGUGGGUAUCAAACAGGAUUAGAUACCCUAGUAGUC